rnacentral:rRNA from 1 species
AGAGUUUGAUCAUGGCUCAGGAUGAACGCUGGCGGCGUGCUUAACACAUGCAAGUCGAACGAAGCACUCUAUUUGAUUUUCUUCGGAAAUGAAGAUUUUGUGACUGAGUGGCGGACGGGUGAGUAACGCGUGGGUAACCUGCCUCAUACAGGGGGAUAACAGUUGGAAACGACUGCUAAUACCGCAUAAGCGCACAGGAUCGCAUGAUCCGGUGUGAAAAACUCCGGUGGUAUGAGAUGGACCCGCGUCUGAUUAGCCAGUUGGCAGGGUAACGGCCUACCAAAGCGACGAUCAGUAGCCGACCUGAGAGGGUGACCGGCCACAUUGGGACUGAGACACGGCCCAAACUCCUACGGGAGGCAGCAGUGGGGAAUAUUGCACAAUGGGGGAAACCCUGAUGCAGCGACGCCGCGUGAGCGAAGAAGUAUUUCGGUAUGUAAAGCUCUAUCAGCAGGGAAGAAGAAUGACGGUACCUGACUAAGAAGCACCGGCUAAAUACGUGCCAGCAGCCGCGGUAAUACGUAUGGUGCAAGCGUUAUCCGGAUUUACUGGGUGUAAAGGGAGCGCAGGCGGUGCGGCAAGUCUGAUGUGAAAGCCCGGGGCUCAACCCCGGUACUGCAUUGGAAACUGUCGUACUAGAGUGUCGGAGGGGUAAGUGGAAUUCCUAGUGUAGCGGUGAAAUGCGUAGAUAUUAGGAGGAACACCAGUGGCGAAGGCGGCUUACUAGGCUUUUACUGACGCUGAGGCUCGAAAGCGUGGGGAGCAAACAGGAUUAGAUACCCUGGUAGUCCACGCUGUAAACGAUGAUUACUAGGUGUGGGGGGAUUGACCCCUUCCGCGCCGCAGUUAACACAAUAAGUAAUCCACCUGGGGAGUACGACCGCAAGGUUGAAACUCAAAGGAAUUGACGGGGGCCCGCACAAGCAGUGGAGUAUGUGGUUUAAUUCGAAGCAACGCGAAGAACCUUACCAGGUCUUGACAUCGAGUGACGUAUCCAGAGAUGGAUAUUUCCUUCGGGACACAAAGACAGGUGGUGCAUGGUUGUCGUCAGCUCGUGUCGUGAGAUGUUGGGUUAAGUCCCGCAACGAGCGCAACCCUUAUCAUUAGUUGCUACGCAAGAGCACUCUAAUGAGACUGCCGUUGACAAAACGGAGGAAGGUGGGGAUGACGUCAAAUCAUCAUGCCCCUUAUGACCUGGGCUACACACGUACUACAAUGGCGAUCGAACAGAGGGAAGCAAGACAGCGAUGUGGAGCCAAUCCCAAAAAAUCGCCCCAGUUCAGAUUGCAGGCUGCAACUCGCCUGCAUGAAGUCGGAAUUGCUAGUAAUCGCAGAUCAGCAUGCUGCGGUGAAUACGUUCCCGGGCCUUGUACACACCGCCCGUCACACCAUGGGAGUCGGUAACACCCAAAGCCGGUCGUCUAACCUUCGGGAGGACGCCGUCUAAGGUGGGAUUGAUGACUGGGGUGAAGUCGUAACAAGGUA